UGGUUGCCUCCUCCUCCUCAUCUGCAUCCUCCUUAUCCAAGCUCCGAUCUAUCCUCCUCCAGAUAGUUCAAAGGUUCUCCCUCUGUAACGCGGGCCACACGUCCGGCAUGCCAAGCGUCCACCUCGACCGUGAUUUUGUGGCGGCGCCGCAGUGAAAGAGGCUUUCACCACCCACAGUGGAACCUGGCCAUUGCUCGUGGAGGUCAAAGAAGGAAGGAGGGAAGAGGUGGUGCACCGGAGGCUAAGAAGGAUAGAUAUGGGGCUCGCAGGGUGUGCGGUUUAUGGCAUGGCCUGUGGUCAUUUAAUAGUAGGCGCCCGGAGUGGCUUCUCAUUUCGUCGCGCCGACGCGAAUGCCAUGCAGGCGGACGGAGUCACCCUACUUGAAUGGGGUAGGAAGUCGUCCCCUCAUCCUGCAAGUUCAUGUCAGCUCUGAACUAGCAUUAACGUGGUGCAGGGAGCGAGGAUGCAAGCGUUAUCCGGAAUGAUUGGGCGUAAAGCGUCUGUAGGUGGCUUUUCAAGUCCGCCGUCAAAUGCCAGGGCUCAACCCUGGACAUGCGGCGGAAACUACCAAGCUGGAGUAUGGUAGGGGCAGAGGGAAUUUCUGGUGGAGCGGUGAAAUGCAUUGAGAUCGGAAAGAACACCAACGGCAAAAGCACUCUGCUGGACCGACACUGACACCGAGAGACGAAAGCUAGGGUAGCAAAUGGGAUUAGAGACCCCAGUAGUCCUAGCCGUAAACGAUGGAUACUAGGUGCUGUGCGACUCGACCCGUGCAGUGCUGUAGCUAACGCGUUAAGUAUCCCGCCUGGGGAGUACGUUCGCAAGAAUGAAACUCAAAGGAAUUGAUGGGGGCCCGCACAAGCGGUGGAGCAUGUGGUUUAAUUCGAUGCAAAGCGAAGAACCUUACCAGGGCUUGACAUCCCGUGAAUCCUCUUGAAAGAGAGGGGUGCCCUCGGAACGCGGACACAGGUGGUGCAUGGCUGUCGUCAGCUCAUGCCGUAAGGUGUUGGGUUAAGUCUCGCAAUGAGCGCAACCCUCGUGUUUAGUUACCACUAUGAGUUUGGAACCCUGAACAGACCGUCGGUGUUAAACCGGAGGAAGGAGAGGAUGAGGCCAAGUCAUCAUGUCCCUUAUGCCCAGGGCGACACACGUGCUACAAUGGGCGGGACAAAGGGUCGCGAUCUCGCGAGGGUGAGCUAACUCCAAAAACUCGUCCUUGGUUCGGAUUGCAGGUUGCAACUCGCCUGGAUGAAGCAGGAAUCGCUAGUAAUCGCAUGUCAGCCAUACGGCGGUGAAUCCGUUCUAGGGCCUUGUACACACCACCCGUCACACUAUAGGAGCUAGCCAUGUUUGAAGUCAUUACCCUUAACCGUAAGGAGGGGGAUGCCUAAGGCUAGGCUUGCGACUGGAGUGAAGUUGUAACAAGGUAGCCGUACUGGAAGGUGCGGCUG
rnacentral:rRNA from 1 species